GACAUUGAGGACUUUAUGAAAUUACCUUUUGGGGCUGUUUUCAUGAUACGAAAAUACCGAGGCAGACGGCCCCAUUAUUCUCAAAAAGUGAGCAUAAAAAGAGCUCUGGAGGCGAUUGAUCGCCACGAUCUUGUUCCGCUUAUCAUGCCCGAAGAGGCAGAGAAAAAUACCAAUGCUGUUGCACGGGAUGUUGACAAUGGAAAAAAUGAUAUAAAUGGUACGCCAGAUGACAAAGACGUCAUAAAUGAAAGUGAUACAAAUGUAGAGAAAUCAAACGAGGAACCAACAGCACAAGAGAAUAGUAGCGUCAAAGAAAACGUGCAAGAUAUUGAAGAGACAUGUGUUCCAGCACAAUUUGAUGAAAAGCAAAACGAACAAUUCAAUGAAACAGUUGGUCUGGAAAACCACAAAAACGACGAAUGAACGAAAAAUCAUUCUCUUACUAUUGCAUUUACAAAACUUUCAAAGAUAAACAUUGCAUUGAAUAUGAUUUUUUGUCGUUGGAUAUAUACGGCAUUAACUAAAGUACAUUUACUAUAUGUUAAAUCAUCAAUUUUAUGUUAUUUGCAAAGCUUUGUAAUUUGUUGGUCUUUUUUUUCCUGGAGAAUUUGUUAUUGUUAUCUACGGGUACACAUGAUUAGGUUUGUUAGUGGUUUUAUGGUGUUUGAAAUUGUACAUGUAUUUUAGUGAAAUUGAUUCUUGGUGAACUUUCGUGCAUUGGAUAAUUUUAAUUUCUUUCAUAUUUUUGUUUACUUUUUCAGCUGAUAAUAAUCAAGGUAUUUUGAAUUUAGUAUGUUCUGAGCACUACACCUUCAUUUCUUCAAGAGUGUUAUUUCAUGACAAAUGUACUUUUCUGUUCACUGAUUAGAUCUAGACACUGUUUUAGCACCUUCUGUUUGAAUUUGUAUCAUUUCCGAUCUGAUGUUUCAAUGAAAACUGAUUUUAUAGCUUGACUCGUAGACAUAGUGUAGAAGAUACUUGUUGUAUACACUUAAAUUUUCAUAUAGUCUCAAAUUCAAGUUCAAUAUUUCACACUUUUACCUGGUUGUUAUUGCACGAAUUCCUAAUACUAGUUUGUGAUGUUAUAUUCUAAUAAAACUCAGUAUUGUU
rnacentral:misc_RNA from 1 species